UACGUAGGGGGCAAGCGUUGUCCGGAAUCAUUGGGCGUAAAGAGCGCGUAGGCGGCCCUGUAAGUCCGCUGUGAAAGUCAAGGGCUCAACCCUUGAAUGCCGGUGGAUACUGCAGGGCUAGAGUCCGGAAGAGGCGAGUGGAAUUCCUGGUGUAGCGGUGAAAUGCGCAGAUAUCAGGAGGAACACCAGUGGCGAAGGCGGCUCACUGGCCCGGUGCUGACGCUGAGGCGCGAAAGCGUGGGGAGCAAACAGG
rnacentral:rRNA from 1 species